rnacentral:rRNA from 1 species
UACGUAGGGUGCAAGCGUUGUCCGGAAUUAUUGGGCGUAAAGAGCUCGUAGGCGGUCUGUCGCGUCGGAUGUGAAAACCCAGGGCUCAACCCUGGGCCUGCAUUCGAUACGGGCAGACUAGAGUUCGGUAGGGGAGACUGGAAUUCCUGGUGUAGCGGUGAAAUGUGUAGAGAUCGGGAGGAACGCCGGUGGCGAAGGCGGGUCUCUGGGCAAUUCCUGACGCUGAGGCGCGAAAGCGUGGGGAGCAAACGGG